UACGGAGGAUGCGAGCGUUAUCCGGAUUUAUUGGGUUUAAAGGGUGCGUAGGCGGGCUUUUAAGUCAGCGGUAAAAAUUCGGGGCUCAACCCCGUCCGGCCGUUGAAACUGGGGGCCUUGAGUGGGCGAGAAGAAGGCGGAAUGCGUGGUGUAGCGGUGAAAUGCAUAGAUAUCACACAGAACACCGAUUGCGAAGGCAUCUCACGAAUCCGCGAUUGACGCUGAUGCACGAAAGCGUGGGUAUCAAACAGG
rnacentral:rRNA from 1 species